UUAUGUUUCUCUAACAUAUAUGUAAUGUAUGUAAUGGUUAUAUUUUGCUGAUAUCUUUAGUGUUUUCCUUCUUGUCUGAAUUUUCCAUCUGUCGAUUUCCAGGUUGGGAAGCACUAGUACAAUCAACUGACUCCGAAAGCUCGACGAAAAGGUGAGUUACAAUGCAUAGUAUAAUAUACUUUUGGGUUGAUGAUGAUUUUUCGGCUGCUCGUAGUUAGACUGAAUAUAUACACUUUUGGAUUGAUGAUACCUUUUCUGCGUGUUUAUUUCGAUUUGAUUAAAUGUCCUGUAUAUAUGUUGGAACCUAGCUCGAAUCGGCCUGAGUAAUGAAG
rnacentral:lncRNA from 1 species